rnacentral:rRNA from 1 species
AUGGAUUUCUAUUUUGAAUGGUCAGCAUAUGAUGUUAUAAGCACUUUUCUUGUUCAUUCUCAUCACGCCAUUUUAUUCACAACCUGCAGGAGUUUCUUGUGUGUCAAGGGAAUGUCUGCCUCAGAAAACCAGACUGCUGAAAUCAGCAACGAAACUGAUGACAGGAAGGGAGACCGUCCAUGGAACAUCAUACGUAUACGUUUACCACCGAGGAAGAAGUUGCCUGACGCCUCCCUCACCCUGAGCAAGAAAGUACCUAGGAUUAACAAAACCGGAAGUAAGGAAGUACCUGAAAUGAGUACUGACAGCCCAGGAAAGAAUCUGAUAAUUGCUCCAGUACUGGGUGAGGCAAGCAGCCAUUCCCCAAGAAUGGGACUGUGUAAUGAGGGCAGUAGCAACACCCUGAGCAAGACACUGUCUGCUAAACCUGAGAGUGAUACCUCAGGCAACAAACAACCAGAUGAGGCAACUUACAGCACCCUGAGCAAGAACCUAAAAGUCGAUGAUAAAGAGCAAGGAAGUGAUGCAAACUGUUAUGCGGCUAAACAGGGACCGUAUGAGGCCAACAACAAUAUCUUAAGCACGAUACUUCCUCUACCAGGCAAGAAUCUGAUAACUUCUCCAGUACAGGGUGAGGCAAGCAGCCACUCCCCAAGAAUGGGACUGUGUAAUGAGGGCAGUAGGAACACCCUGAGCAAGACACUGUCUGCUGAAUCUGAGAGCGAUACCUCAGGCCAUAAACACCCGGAUGAGGCAACUUACAGCACCCUGAGCAAGAACCUAAGAGUCGAUGAUGAAGAGCAAGCAAGCGAUGCAAACUGUUAUGCUGUUGAACAGGGACCAUGUGAAGAGGCCAACAACAAUAUCUUGAGCAUGAUACUUCCUCUACCAGUUCAGGAAUUACCUGAAAAUCAUAUAGACAACAGCCCAAGCAAGAACGAUAUAACCCCCGGAAUGCAGAAUGAUGAGGAACAUAACAACUCCCCAAGAAGGAAACUGCACUAUGAUACUGACAACAAAGAAGAUGAAGAGGGUAACAGCAGAAGCUGGAACCUCACAAUCACCGCUGGGAAGUAUGAGGAUGUUGUUGAAGAAGCUCACCACCACAUUCCCACCAAGAAGGUUGAAAACAAUGCCCCAAGCAAUUCACCAACUGAUCCAGCCAAACAAAUUUCCCCACACAAGAGGCUGCCUACCUCUUCGAGCCGGAACACCCCGGGAAUGAAGCUUUCUGCUUCCGUUUGCCAGGCUGUGGAGCAAAAUACCAAUGCUGCGAACACGGAGGUCACAAAGGAGUUUCAAGAGUUUGAGGAGAAGUUCAAGCGAACUGUAUUUCUUGUCAAUCUUGACAACCUCUCUCACCAAGCUACAGAGGUUAAGAGCAACCCAAGCAGGAUCCUGUCAACCACUGCUAUGGAGUGUGAGAUGUUUGAAAAUGCUAACCACACCAUUCCUAGCAAGAAGCUUUCUGAUGUGGCAAGAAACAAGGCCCCAAGCAAUAGAUCAACUGAUCCAGCUAAGAAAAGAACCCCACGCAAGAAGCCACGCACCUCUGCAUUACAGACUACUGAUACCAGCCAGAAUGCUUUUGGAAUGAAGCUUCCCAUUUCUGAUGGCCAGGCUGUUAAUCAAAGUAAGAGUGCUGCAGAUUUGGAUUCCAUAAAACAGUAUCCUGAGGACAACAAAUUGAUUACUGACAACCAAGGCAAGAAUCUGAUGACCACUCCAGCACAUGGUGAGGCAAGCAGCCACUCCCCAAGAGUGGGACACUGUAAUGGGGCCAAUAGCAACACCUUUAGCAAGACACGGUCCGCUGAGUCUGAGAGCGAUACCUCAGGCAACAAACUACCGGAUGAGGCAAAUGACAACAUCCUGAGCAUGAACCUGAGAGUCACUGCUGAAGAGCAAGGAAGUGAUCCAAGCAGUUACGCUGCUAAACAUGGACUGUGUGAAGAGGUGAACAACAUCUCGAGCAUGAUGCUUCGUCUUCAACUUCAGGAAUUGCCUAAAGAUCAUAUUGGCAACAGCCCAAGCAAGAGCCUUACAACAACUAGAAAGCAGGGUGAGGAGGAACAUAGCAACUCCCCAAGAAAGAAACUGCUCUACAAUACUGACAAUAAAGUAGCAGAUGAAGAGGGUAACAACCCAAGCUGGAAUCAAACGAUCACCGCUGUGAAGUCUAAGGAGGUGUUUGAAGAAGCUAAUCAUCCCAUUCCCAGCAAGAUGCUGUCUGGUGAGGCUAAAAACAAUGGCCCAAGCAAUAGACCAACUUAUCGAGCUAACAAAAAUGCCCCACACAAGAGUUUGUGUACCUCUUCAGUACAAGCUACUGGUACCAGCGGGAAGACCCCUGGAAUGAAGCUUUCUGCUUAUGUUGACCAGGCUGUGGAACAAAGUACCAGUGCUGCAAACAUGGAGGUCAUAAAGGAGCAUCAAGAGUUGGAGGAGAAGAUGAAGGAAACUGUAUAUCUUGACAACCUCUCUCACAAGGCUACAGAGCCUAAGAGCAACACAAGCAGGACCCUGUCAACCACUGCUAUAAAAUCUGAUGUGUUUGAAAAUGCUAACCACACCAUUCCCACCAAGAAGCUGUCUGAUGUGGCUAGAAACAAGGCCCCAAGCAAAAGAUCAACUGAUCCAGCUAAGAAAAUCACCCCACGCAAGAAGCCGCGCACCUCUGCAGUGCUGGCUACCGGCACCAGCCAGAAUACAUCUGUAAUGAAGCUUUCCACUUCUGAUGGCCAGGCUGCUAAUCAAAGUAAGAGUACUGCAGAGUUGGAAGCCAUAAAGCAGUAUCAGGAGUUCGAGGAGAAGGUCAAACGAACUGUAUACCUUGACAACUUGUCUCACCAGGCUACAGAGGCAGUCAUAAAAACAGCUUUGAGUCAAUUUUGUAGUAUCAGAAAGGUUAGUUUUGUUGUGAACUACACCAUUCCCUACAAUAUUCCUCAAUCUGCAUUAGUAGAGAUGGAAACUGAGAAGGAUGCUGAAGUUGUGGUCAGUAUGCUGCAUGGCUUCCCUUUUAUGAUCUCUGGAAUUCCAAGGCCUGUUAGGGCGAAGCAUGCUACGGCUGAGAUGUUCAAUGAUCGCCCCCGGAGACCUGGGAGUAAGUUAAAAUUUCGCUGGGUGGGCAACAGAGAUCCUGAUUAUGAGAUUCUAAAAAAAUCGAAGAUACUCUCCAGGAGACAUGAGGUGGAGAACUUUGCACUAAUUGAGCAUGAACUAGAUGAGGAGAAAUCGCUAGCAGAGCAGCAGCAGGAGAAUCUGAACUGCAACCGCAAGAUGUUGGAGACCAUGGACAGCGUCAUUCUGUCUGGCAUGACAAACUACAUAUCUAAAAUUUAUAGCGUCAAUUGGAACGAUGUGUUCUGA